rnacentral:rRNA from 1 species
UACGGAGGGGGCUAGCGUUGUUCGGAAUUACUGGGCGUAAAGCGCGCGUAGGCGGACCUGCAAGUCGGGGGUGAAAGCCCGAGGCUCAACCUCGGAACUGCCUUCGAUACUGCGGGUCUCGAGUCCGGGAGAGGUGAGUGGAAUUCCUAGUGUAGAGGUGAAAUUCGUAGAUAUUAGGAAGAACACCAGUGGCGAAGGCGGCUCACUGGACCGGUACUGACGCUGAGGAGCGAAAGCGUGGGGAGCGAACAGG